rnacentral:tRNA from 1 species
AUAGCUGAGCGGUAAAGCACUUGACUUCUAAACUGGGGAUCCUGGGUUUGAAUCCUGGU